rnacentral:lncRNA from 1 species
GUGAUCCAUUAUACCUAUCCACCGCAGCAGAAAUAAAUUUUUGUGGCAACGGUGGUAUCAUGUCACCGUUGUAAUAAGUCAACCAACAGUGAAAAAUAGAUGAGAUAUAGAAGAAUAAUGUGAAAUAUUAUUCACAAAAAUUGAUAAAUUAUAUGAGAGUAUUGCGGCCAAUCGCCUCAUCAUCCGAUCACCGGAAAACGAGCACCUGCAAAAAUGAGAAGUCCACACUGACC